UAACAAAUUGUUUUAUAAUAAACUAACUGUCUCUCUUGUUAUCUUUACAAAAUAUUAAUUGGUUCUUCAAUCACAAAACAUAUAAUUUAAGUACAUUAAUUAAAGUCAGUUAUGGUUGAGAGAAGCUGGCAGCUAGCAGCCUAACGUAACACCAGCUGCCAUAAAACUCCAAUGAACAGGAUUAGCUGGCUCGGACUGCACAUGCGCAAAUCCUACGUAAAUAUUUUUGGCGGUCGAGUUGCUGUUGGCCUUCUUUGCUAAGUUGGAAGAGAGAGCGAGUGGAUCUUGGCUAACUUGCUAACCUCAUAUUAGCUGCAUGAUUCAGUUAUUGUAUUCAUAUUUGAACGUGGCAGUGUAAAGGUUCACAGAGAUGGUGGCCAGGACCUUAGUACACGGGAGGCAGGAGGACGUCUGAGACAAAAGCCAGUGAUCACAGAGUUCAAGAUCAGAUGGUCAGGCCUGCUCACUAUGGCGCAGGUAUGAAAUGCUUCCCGCUUUUCACAUUACACUGUCAGUGUUUCAACUGCCAAUGUGAAAGAGCUGGCUGCUGUAGCAUUAUGUAAAUCUUUAUCAUUUUGUGUAAAAU